rnacentral:rRNA from 1 species
UACGAAGGUGGCAAGCGUUGUUCGGAUUUACUGGGCGUACAGGGAGCGUAGGCGGUUGGAUAAGCCCUCCGUGAAAUCUCCAGGCUUAACCUGGAAAGUGCAGAGGGGACUGUUCAGCUAGAGGAUGGGAGAGGAGCGCGGAAUUCCCGGUGUAGCGGUGAAAUGCGUAGAGAUCGGGAGGAAGGCCGGUGGCGAAGGCGGGUUGCUGGGCCGACACUGACGCUGAGGCGCGAAAGCCAGGGGAGCGAACGGG